rnacentral:rRNA from 1 species
GGGCAUCGGGAUUGAAGCUUGCUUCAAUUGCCGGCGACCGGCGCACGGGUGCGUAACGCGUAUGUAACCUACCUAUAACAGGGGCAUAACACUGAGAAAUUGGUACUAAUUCCCCAUAAUAUUCGGAGAGGCAUCUCUCCGGGUUGAAAACUCCGGUGGUUAUAGAUGGACAUGCGUUGUAUUAGCUGGUUGGUGAGGUAACGGCUCACCAAGGCAACGAUACAUAGGGGGACUGAGAGGUUAACCCCCCCACACUGGUACUGAGACACGGACCAGACUCCUACGGGAGGCAGCAGUGAGGAAUAUUGGUCAAUGGACGCAAGUCUGAACCAGCCAUGCCGCGUGCAGGAAGACGGCUCUAUGAGUUGUAAACUGCUUUUGUACGAGGGUAAACUCACCUACGUGUAGGUGACUGAAAGUAUCGUACGAAUAAGGAUCGGCUAACUCCGUGCCAGCAGCCGCGGUAAUACGGAGGAUUCAAGCGUUAUCCGGAUUUAUUGGGUUUAAAGGGUGCGUAGGCGGUUUGAUAAGUUAGAGGUGAAAUCCCGGGGCUUAACUCCGGAACUGCCUCUAAUACUGUUAGACUAGAGAGUAGUUGCGGUAGGCGGAAUGUAUGGUGUAGCGGUGAAAUGCUUAGAGAUCAUACAGAACACCGAUUGCGAAGGCAGCUUACCAAACUAUAUCUGACGUUGAGGCACGAAAGCGUGGGGAGCAAACAGGAUUAGAUACCCUGGUAGUCCACGCAGUAAACGAUGAUAACUCGUUGUCGGCGAUACACAGUCGGUGACUAAGCGAAAGCGAUAAGUUAUCCACCUGGGGAGUACGUUCGCAAGAAUGAAACUCAAAGGAAUUGACGGGGGCCCGCACAAGCGGAGGAACAUGUGGUUUAAUUCGAUGAUACGCGAGGAACCUUACCCGGGCUUGAAAGUUACUGACGAUUCUGGAAACAGGAUUUCCCUUCGGGGCAGGAAACUAGGUGCUGCAUGGUUGUCGUC